GCCUAAGGUGAUAUCACCCUGGGCACACCUGGUAUUAUCUGAUCUCGGAAGCCAAACAGAGUCAGACCUGGUUAGAACUUGAAUUACAAUAGAAUAAAAUAUUGGAGUUAGACU
ensembl:rRNA 5S_rRNA 5S ribosomal RNA